rnacentral:rRNA from 1 species
GCGCGCAGGCGGCCAGGUCAGUCGAAUGUGAAAGCCCCCGGCUCAACUGGGGAAGGUCGUUCGAUACUACUUGGCUCGAAGAUAGGAGAGGGAAGUGGAAUUUCAGGUGUAGUAGUGAAAUGCGUAGAUAUCUGAAGGAACACCAGUGGCGAAGGCGACUUUCUGGCCUAUUCUUGACGCUGAGGCGCGAAAGCUAGGGGAGCGAACG